CCGGGAGGACUCCCCAGUAUAAAGUCUCCGACGUGGAGAAGCUCGUCGCCUAGGGGAGUGUCUCCUUGAUUUCCUCGGAGGAGAGGAGUCGGUCCUAGGGGGUGGAGUUCGCUUCUUCUUUCUUCUCUCCUCAGACCCCUCAGGCUGGGUUUCCUUCCCAGCAGUUCUCUCUCGCUCCUCCUCUGGAGUACGAAAGAAGGAGGCGAGCCUGGCAGCAAUGUAAGACUGCGCAGGAUUAACAUUAACAGGUACCUCCACAGAUACUUCCCCUUCCUCAGUUCGUUGGACUUCUUCAGGAGGAGUAGGGGAAUGCGCCAUCGAAUAGGCGUUCUCAAGAGCACGUUUCCUCAGAUGUGUGGCAUCAGAA
rnacentral:lncRNA from 1 species